rnacentral:tRNA from 1 species
CAGGGGUUAGUUUAUAAAAUAUUGGUUUUGGAGACCAAAGAUAGAAUUUUUUCUCCUCCUGA